UGGGGAAUCUUCCGCAAUGGACGAAAGUCUGACGGAGCAACGCCGCGUGAGUGAUGAAGGAUUUCGGUCUGUAAAGCUCUGUUGUUUAUGACGAACGUGCAGUGUGUGAACAAUGCAUUGCAAUGACGGUAGUAAACGAGGAAGCCACGGCUAACUACGUGCCAGCAGCCGCGGUAAUACGUAGGUGGCGAGCGUUGUCCGGAAUUAUUGGGCGUAAAGAGCAUGUAGGCGGCUUAAUAAGUCGAGCGUGAAAAUGCGGGGCUCAACCCCGUAUGGCGCUGGAAACUGUUAGGCUUGGGUGCAGGAGAGGAAAGGGGAAUUCCCAGUGUAGCGGUGAAAUGCGUAGAUAUUGGGAGGAACACCAGUGGCGAGGGCGCCUUUCUGGACUGUGUCUGACGCUGAGAUGCGAAAGCCAGGGUAGCGAACGGG
rnacentral:rRNA from 1 species